GUUUUAAUAGUUUAAAAAAAAUUUAAAUUUGUGGAAUUUAAGAUGCUAAAGCUUAAAACA
rnacentral:tRNA from 1 species